CACCUUGCAUAAAUCCCUCUCGCCACUAUGUACCAUUUUUCUGGAGUAGGGAGUGGGUGGUAUGAGGUCACUUUUAUGUACAUUCAGGUGUAGGGAAAUUGUUUACAGUCUUUAGAUGAUACUGCGUUUUAUCCUUUUCCACUUUAAAGUCUCUUAAACAACUUCAUUAAAAAAAUUUGUCUUGCAUGCAGCACCAGACACUAGUAAGGAACUAAAUCCCGAUGUACCUUCAUUAACUCUUGAUCCAAGUCAGUUUCAUGGUACCAUGCGGCAUGCAAAGGGUGAGGGUGACUCUGAUUGCUGGUCUUCGCCAAGUGGUUCUGGUUUCAUGAUCAGAGGGAAGACAUACUUGAAAGACAGUACGAAGGUAGCUUUUAAUUCUUGAAUCCAAAUAUUUGGAUCAAGCUUUCACAUGUUCCUGAAUUUUUUUUUCCAGCUUUCUAAUUCCUGCUUCUCUUUCGUUAGCUAAUUAAUUACAAGAGUCACCUAUUUAGCAGUUUUGAGUGUAAAGAAAAGAACAAAGACCUAGGGUAUUAUUGACUCAUAAAAAAUUGUGCCUAUGGACAAUUUGUUUGUUUUUAUUCAUUGCUGAUAACCAAGGGAUGCCAAUUGAUUUUUUGAGCUCUAUCUUUAAAAAAAAAGAAAUUUAUUUUUGAGCUCAGUACAUAAUAUGUGAUUUGAGGCAUAGUUGUUAUUGUGGUACUGCACAAUAUUGGAUGUAGCUAAUCUCUUGGUGUAAUAACAUGCACUUAUUGCUGAAUAUCAAUAAAACUACCUUUACCUGUCAAAAGAACACAAAAGUAUUGUUUUAUUAACCUAGAAGAUUUGAAUGUUUAAUGUAGAGGUCUGCAAAGAAAGUAGACACCUUGCAUAAAUCCCUCUCGCCACUAUGUACCAUUUUUCUGGAGUAGGGAGUGGGUGGUAUGAGGUCACUUUUAUGUACAUUCAGGUGUAGGGAAAUUGUUUACAGUCUUUAGAUGAUACUGCGUUUUAUCCUUUUCCACUUUAAAGUCUCUUAAACAACUUCAUUAAAAAAAUUUGUCUUGCAUGCAGCACCAGACACUAGUAAGGAACUAAAUCCCGAUGUACCUUCAUUAACUCUUGAUCCAAGUCAGUUUCAUGGUACCAUGCGGCAUGCAAAGGGUGAGGGUGACUCUGAUUGCUGGUCUUCGCCAAGUGGUUCUGGUUUCAUGAUCAGAGGGAAGACAUACUUGAAAGACAGUACGAAGGU
rnacentral:lncRNA from 1 species